CCCAGCUACUCAGGAGGCUGAGGCAGGAGAAUUGCUUGAACCCGGGAGGUGGAGGUUGUGGUGAGCUGAGAUCGCACCACUGUACUCCAGCCUGGGAAUACAGCGAGACUCACUAGUCCCUGUACCCUCCCCACCCCCACCCUAAUGUGACCCCUUCGCACUCCCACUGCCAGACACACGCUUUAGUCCCCACACAGUGCCGGGGCCUUUGCAAGGGGGAAGAGCCCCGCCUAGGGCCCGGUUCUCCAGACCACCCCUCAGCCCCACCCAUAAUCCCUGACUGGACAUACUAAGGCUCACCUCAGCCUCACAUCAACUGACCCCCACAAAGCCUCAGAAAACGACCCCUGAGUUCUCCUACACCUCCGAACCCCACCCAGGGCCCCAGACUGCGGCCGACCCUCGCUCCGCGGCUCAGCCCCAUCCAGAGCCCACGGCAUGUCGCUCGGCCCCACCGCCCCGACCCUCAAAAGCUGGACCUCUCAGCCCCCCUCACUCCAAAGACCCCCCUAGAUCGCGCCUCAAAGACUCCGAAGGUCAAAGCCGCCAGCCCCCCGCCUGGCCCCCUCCCUCGGACGCCCCCGCGUCUCGCAGGCCGGCGGCCACCGCCCUUCCACGCCUCGGGCGGGCCCCGUGGG
rnacentral:lncRNA from 1 species